rnacentral:rRNA from 1 species
CGACCGGCAAACGGGUGCGGAACACGUACACAACCUCCCUCUUAGUAAGGCAUAGCCCAGGGAAACUUGGAUUAAUACUUUAUAGUAUAUUUGAAAGGCAUCUUUUGAAUAUUAAAGCUUCGGCGCUUUGAGAUGGGUGUGCGGCUGAUUAGAUAGUUGGUAGGGUAACGGCCUACCAAGUCUACGAUCAGUAACUGGUGUGAGAGCACGACCAGUCACACGGGCACUGAGACACGGGCCCG